rnacentral:rRNA from 1 species
UGCCAGCAGCCGCGGUAAUACGAAGGGGGCAAGCGUUGUUCGGAAUCACUGGGCGUAAAGCGCACGUAGGCGGAUCGUUAAGUCAGGGGUGAAAUCCCGAGGCUCAACCUCGGAACUGCCUUUGAUACUGGCGAUCUUUGAGUCCGGGAGAGGUGAGUGGAAUUCCGAGUGUAGAGGUGAAAUUCGUAGAUAUUCGGAAGAACACCAGUGGCGAAGGCGACUUUCUGGCUCGUAACUGACGCUGAGGCACGAAAGCGUGGGGAGCAAACAGGAUUAGAUA